rnacentral:rRNA from 1 species
UGCAGUCGAACGGUAACAUUUCCAGCUUGCUGGAAGAUGACGAGUGGCGCACGGGUGCGUAACGCGUAUGCAAUCUACCUUUUACAGGAGUAUAGCCCAGAGAAAUUUGGAAUAAUCCUCCAUACUAUCUUUUUUUCGCAUGGAAUUAAGAUGAAAGCUUCGGCGGUAAAAGAUGAGCAUGCGUCCUAUUAGUUUGUUGGUAAGGUAACGGCUUACCAAGACUACGAUAGGUAGGGGCCCUGAGAGGGGGAUCCCCCACACUGGUACUGAGACACGGACCAGACUCCUACGGGAGGCAGCAGUGAGGAAUAUUGGACAAUGGACGAAAGUCUGAUCCAGCCAUGCCGCGUGCAGGAUGACUGCCCUAUGGGUUGUAAACUGCUUUUAUACAGGAAGAAACACUCCCUCGUGAGGGAGCUUGACGGUACUGUAAGAAUAAGGAUCGGCUAACUCCGUGCCAGCAGCCGCGGUAAU